GGUUAAGCGACUAAGCGUACACGGUGGAUGCCCUGGCAGUCAGAGGCGAUGAAGGACGUGCUAAUCUGCGAUAAGCGUCGGUGAGGUGAUAUGAACCGUUAUAACCGGCGAUUUCCGAAUGGGGAAACCCAGUGUGUUUCGACACACUAUCAUUAACUGAAUCCAUAGGUUAAUGAGGCGAACCGGGGGAACUGAAACAUCUAAGUACCCCGAGGAAAAGAAAUCAACCGAGAUUCCCCCAGUAGCGGCGAGCGAACGGGGAGGAGCCCAGAGCCUGAAUCAGUGUGUGUGUUAGUGGAAGCGUCUGGAAAGGCGCGCGAUACAGGGUGACAGCCCCGUACACAAAAAUGCACAUAUUGUGAGCUCGAUGAGUAGGGCGGGACACGUGGUAUCCUGUCUGAAUAUGGGGGGACCAUCCUCCAAGGCUAAAUACUCCUGACUGACCGAUAGUGAACCAGUACCGUGAGGGAAAGGCGAAAAGAACCCCGGCGAGGGGAGUGAAAAAGAACCUGAAACCGUGUACGUACAAGCAGUGGGAGCCUCUUUAUGGGGUGACUGCGUACCUUUUGUAUAAUGGGUCAGCGACUUAUAUUCUGUAGCAAGGUUAACCGAAUAGGGGAGCCGAAGGGAAACCGAGUCUUAACUGGGCGUUAAGUUGCAGGGUAUAGACCCGAAACCCGGUGAUCUAGCCAUGGGCAGGUUGAAGGUUGGGUAACACUAACUGGAGGACCGAACCGACUAAUGUUGAAAAAUUAGCGGAUGACUUGUGGCUGGGGGUGAAAGGCCAAUCAAACCGGGAGAUAGCUGGUUCUCCCCGAAAGCUAUUUAGGUAGCGCCUCGUGAAUUCAUCUCCGGGGGUAGAGCACUGUUUCGGCAAGGGGGUCAUCCCGACUUACCAACCCGAUGCAAACUGCGAAUACCGGAGAAUGUUAUCACGGGAGACACACGGCGGGUGCUAACGUCCGUCGUGAAGAGGGAAACAACCCAGACCGCCAGCUAAGGUCCCAAAGUCAUGGUUAAGUGGGAAACGAUGUGGGAAGGCCCAGACAGCCAGGAUGUUGGCUUAGAAGCAGCCAUCAUUUAAAGAAAGCGUAAUAGCUCACUGGUCGAGUCGGCCUGCGCGGAAGAUGUAACGGGGCUAAACCAUGCACCGAAGCUGCGGCAGCGACACUAUGUGUUGUUGGGUAGGGGAGCGUUCUGUAAGCCUGUGAAGGUGGCCUGU
rnacentral:rRNA from 1 species